UACGGGGGGGGCAAGCGUUGUUCGGAAUUACUGGGCGUAAAGGGCUCGUAGGCGGCCAACUAAGUCAGACGUGAAAUCCCUCGGCUUAACCGGGGAACUGCGUCUGAUACUGGAUGGCUUGAGUUCGGGAGAGGGAUGCGGAAUUCCUGGUGUAGCGGUGAAAUGCGCAGAUAUCAGGAAGAACACCCGUGGCGAAGGCGGUUCUCUGGAACGCAACUGACGCUGAGACGCGAAAGCGUGGGGAGCAAACAGG
rnacentral:rRNA from 1 species